UCCAUGUGUCUCUGUCUUCUGGAAAUAUUCUUGAAAAAUAAAACCAUUGAAUCGAGGAAUGCAUCACUUCAGCCCAUCUGAGUAAUGGGUGAUUUCCCAGCGCACACUGGGUGAUUAUAUUGUGCAGGUCUGAAUUUUGAUGUGCUUUCAGUGGAUGGCCACUUAAUUUGCCAUUUCUGAGAGCUUUGGCUGCACUUGAAUCCUGUUCUCCAGAUGUGGUGCUACCUGGCUGUGCAUUGGCAAAAUUUUCUCUUUGAAUGAUUGUGGCUCCUGCUAAGCGAAGAACCCAGGGAUGUCAAGCUUUGUAAUGUGCCACAAGCAGUUGUUCCGGUGAACAUAUGGAGGCUUCCUGAGGAUGUGCUGUACCACAAGGAAGAUGUAUGAAGAUGAGGGAGAAGGUCUAUGUGGAAAAUAUGCAUCAUUAACUGAACAAAGAAGGAAGCAAUAGUCAGAGGAGGAUGGGGGAUACGCUGUUGAUUCAGAUCAGCAGGGUGUGCUGGUGUGGCCACAACGCUAAUAUAUCCUUGACCACCUCAUGUGCCAAGACUGGCCACAGAGCCAGGAUGGAGAGCUUGUGGCACUGCUACACCUUGGGAACCGUCCCUGAUGCUUUGGAGCAGGAGCCAGCGAAAGCAGAGGUCUGUGGAGAGGGAGCAGGCCUUGUCUGGGGCAAAGUCCCCUUAUUCCAGUGGCCAUUCACUUCAGAAGGGCAUUUUAUGGAGAGGGGACAGUGUGAAAA
rnacentral:lncRNA from 1 species